CCUACGGGCGGCAGCAGUGGGGAAUAUUGGACAAUGGGGGGAACCCUGAUCCAGCGACGCCGCGUGAGUGAAGAAGUAUUUCGGUACGUAAAGCUCUAUCAGCAGGGAAGAAAAUGACGGUACCUGACUAAGAAGCCCCGGCUAACUACGUGCCAGCAGCCGCGGUAAUACGUAGGGGGCAAGCGUUAUCCGGAUUUACUGGGUGUAAAGGGAGCGUAGACGGCAGCGCAAGUCUGGAGUGAAAUCCCAUGGCUUAACAAUGGAACUGCUUUGGAAACUGUGCAGCUAGAGUGCAGGAGAGGUAAGCGGAAUUCCUAGUGUAGCGGUGAAAUGCGUAGAUAUUAGGAGGAACACCAGUGGCGAAGGCGGCUUACUGGACUGUAACUGACGUUGAGGCUCGAAAGCGUGGGGAGCAAACAGGAUUAGAUACCCCGGUAGUC
rnacentral:rRNA from 1 species